rnacentral:lncRNA from 1 species
AAAAGAGAUAAAACAGAUAACCUGAGUGCCAUCUGCAAUCUGCAAAGUAAAGCAAAGUAAAGAAAAAAAAAAGCCUUACUUUACUUUUGUCUGCCGUCUGCAAAGUAAAGAAAAGAGCUUUACUUUACUUUUCUCAUAUUUUUGACUCAGUCAUCCAUUCGCACUUAUGGAAAACAACCACAAAGAUAAAACUCUUAUCCUUACAGC